AGUGAACGCUGGCGGUAGGCCUAGCACAUGCAAGUCGAACGGCAGCACAGUAAGAGCUUGCUCUUACGGGUGGCGAGUGGCGGACGGGUGAGGAAUACAUCGGAAUCUACUUUUUCGUGGGGGAUAACGUAGGGAAACUUACGCUAAUACCGCAUACGACCUACGGGUGAAAGCAGGGGAUCUUCGGACCUUGCGCGAUUGAAUGAGCCGAUGUCGGAUUAGCUAGUUGGCGGGGUAAAGGCCCACCAAGGCGACGAUCCGUAGCUGGUCUGAGAGGAUGAUCGGCCACACUGGAACUGAGACACGGGCCAGACUACUAAGGGAGGCAGCAGUGGGGAAUAUUGGACAAUGGGCGCAAGCCUGAUCCAGCCAUACCGCGUGGGUGAAGAAGGCCUUCGGGUUGUAAAGCCCUUUUGUUGGGAAAGAAAAGCAGCAGGUUAAUACCCCGCUGUUCUGACGGUACCCAAAGAAUAAGCACCGGCUAACUUCGUG
rnacentral:rRNA from 1 species